GACGAACGCUGGCGGCAUGCUUAACACAUGCAAGUCGAACGGAAAGGCCCUGCUUUUGUGGGGUGCUCGAGUGGCGAACGGGUGAGUAACACGUGAGUAACCUGCCCUUGACUUUGGGAUAACUUCAGGAAACUGGGGCUAAUACCGGAUAGGAGCUCCUGCUGCAUGGUGGGGGUUGGAAAGUUUCGGCGGUUGGGGAUGGACUCGCGGCUUAUCAGCUUGUUGGUGGGGUAGUGGCUUACCAAGGCUUUGACGGGUAGCCGGCCUGAGAGGGUGACCGGCCACAAUGGGACUGAGAUACGGCCCAGACUCCUACGGGAGGCAGCAGUGGGGAAUAUUGCACAAUGGGCGGAAGCCUGAUGAAGCAACGCCGCGUGCGGGAUGACGGCCUUCGGGUUGUAAACCGCUUUCGCCUGUGACGAAGCGUGAGUGACGGUAAUGGGUAAAGAAGCACCGGCUAACUACGUG
rnacentral:rRNA from 1 species